GCCUCUUUGUGUGCCAUGCCACCCCCCGAGGUCUGCAGGGAUGGGGCUUUUGGAGCCUGGAUUUUGCAGGAGCAGGAGGGGUACAGUCCAUGUCUCUGCUUCUGGCCCCUCAGCUGUGCACCGCUUUUCUUUUUGGCCUGACGAGGACAACUGGAACUAGACCUUUUAAAAACAGGCCACGGGUCACAGAAGAGCUUGAAGAAAUCACAAUAACUCCUACAGGAGAAGAGUCAGGCAGAGAGGGAAAGCGAACCAGACCAAAGAGGAGAUGGGACAACAGAGGACUUUGCUGCAGUCCCUGAGGAGGCUGGCUUUCCCUCUGAGGCACAGGGAAUUGAUGCAAACAGGAAACCGUGAGCAGCUCUGUCAUCACAAAGGUUGUUCUGGAAGCAGAAAUAAUAGGAAAUAUAUCUUUUAAAAGCUUAUUGAGUUUAUGAAGAAGACACAAUUCAACUGAAGACUGCAAGUCCCUGCAAUAAAAUUCAGUAAAAUCAGAAAAAAAUUGACCCAAUUUUUUUUUAAACAAAAGAUGGCCCAAUUCUACUGCAAAAUUCAGAUCU